rnacentral:rRNA from 2 species
UGUGGUUAUUAUAGCAAAGAGGAUACACCUGUUCCCAUUCCGAACACAGAAGUUAAGCUCUUUAGCGCCGAUGGUACUUGGUGGGAAGCUACCUGGGAGAGUAGGACGUAGCCGCGU